GGUUUUGGACAGUCCCAGGCAGAAGCUGCUGUUUGUCCACCUGCAGUCCCACUCUGGGAAACGCAGUGCAUGCGUACGAAGAUGUGUGAUAUAAACCAGCACAUUUUAAGAGGAGACACGCGGUCUGAAAUAUGGGUCUCAUCAAGGCUGUGGCCUCACAAGCACUAGAGGUGUUUGGAAAGUGAGGAGAACACAGUAUGGAUAUGCCCUUCACUGUUUUCCACAGAGUAACAUUCCUGAGCUUCUGGUUCACUCAUUACAGGUGUUCCCUGCACAGAAAGCAGACUCCUCAGCCAGUGAAACAGUAACACUCCUGG
rnacentral:lncRNA from 1 species